rnacentral:lncRNA from 1 species
AUGGGCCGGAUGGGUAGGACGCUCCUCCCGGAGAGUAGUGAGACCCCUGGUGCGGGGCGAUUGGUGGUGGGAGCGAUGAAUGGCAGCCGCGCGGCCCAACGGGUGCAGUGCGUGGGCCGCGGGGCGGGGCCAGGGCGGGUGCGCGGCGGCGGCGGGGUGGCUGGGCCGGCGGCGGCGGCGGUACGAGGCGCGCGCUCGGGGUCCCGGUCGCGAGGAGGAGGAGGAUGUGGCGCGCGGAGGGGAAAUGGCUGCCGAAAACAAGCCGGAAGGGGUCCUCCAGAAAUUGAUCAUGGAUUACUUGACCAAAUUCAAGGCUCAGAAAUUUAUUCAGGCACUCUGGGAGAUGAUCAUGGGAACAGCAAUAGUAGUCAUGUAAAAAUCUUUUUACCGAAAAAGCUGCUUGAAUGUCUGCCGAAAUGUUCAAGUUUACCCAAAGAGAGGCACCGAUGGAACACUAAUGAGGCUCUCACCACACACUUGUUCAUGGGCGCGGCGAGAAGAGGGAGCCACAGAGCCGGAGCUGGGAGGGCUGCCCCUGGAGUGAGAGCUGGCAGAGCUCAUAGGGAGAGCGUGGUCAUCCUGCCAGCGCCAUGUCUGGCUUCAAGACAAUUCUGUUAGUGAAUUAGUUGUACUCAAAACCCGACAUUAAUUUGAUUCGAAUGUUACUAAAAAUGAAAUAGAU